GCCAGCACAUAUUGUCUUUCUUUUAAUGUGUUAAUUUUCUUGAUAUUGAACAGAUCCCUCUUUCGUAAAUAUCUGAGGAUGCUUGACUGGCUUAACCAGCGAUUGUUUGAUGCACUUGGUUCCUUUGGUGUAACCAACGACUAUCCUUAAUGUGACCGUUUGAUGCAGUUGGGCAAGUAUAAUAGCUGUAUUAAUAAUGGUCUGGCGUAUAAGGACUGGUCAGUGCUUGCGGCCCCUUGAACCUGCACAUUCUCGAGGUGUCACCAUUCUUUUCUUCUCUCGAGGUAGAAGUCAGAUCUUAAGCACAUCCUUUGACAGCACAGCAAGGUUUUAAUCCUUUGACCAUUUGCUGUGUCGGAAUGUCAUCACUAAAUGUUAGAUGUAGUGGUUUUAGCUAAAUGAUGACCUCAGGGCGCGUUAUAGCUAUAAAUUGAUUACUGUUGGUCUUUAUUGGGAGAAGCAUGCCUGAUAUCUCUGUUUCGUUUGUUGUAGAAUUCAUGGCCUGAAGUAAGGUAAAUAUUUUAAAGAAUUCCGUGGAUAUUCAUCUUAUGUGAAUGAUGCCAUGUUUACUUUGAUGGAUCUCGAGUCAGCACCGCAUCUAGCGGUGAAGGUCUGGGAUGCCAAACUACAGAGUGUCUGCAGACAUUCAGACCACCUCCUCCUUUAAGGGGUGGUGAUGCAUCUGUGAAUUCUGUCCAUCCUUUCCCUAAGAAUAUAGAGCACAUUACAGUGUGCAAUAAGACGUCAUCUAUUUAUCUGAUGACUCAAGGACAGGCACUCAAGUACACUCUCUGUCAUCUGAUUUUCGAAUACUCAGCAAAAUCUGUUUUGGCCUGUAAGCUCUAAUAUCAGAACUGUAGUUGAAAGGAAACUGAAGGUAGUUCUGUUGGUGAAGCACCAUUGUGCACUGCCUGUGAGAGGGUAGUUUUUUGGAUGCAGAACCAGCUUAAACAGAAGGGGACAAAAGAGAGAGUACUAGAGUAUGUGGAUCAAACCAUGUUUCGAGAGAUGUCGCUACAACUCAAACACCAGAGCAUUUGAGUGAGCUUCAUAAAAUCCUUCCGGUGAGAGUUGCAGUGCUUGUGGUCUUGGGUCAAAUGGGCAGAUAGGCUGGUUAGCUUGGUAUAAGAAAUGAAGCACUCUUCUAUUGAAAGAGUCUCAUCCUAGGCUCUCCUUAAUAGCUACUGAUCCGGAUGCAAUAGUCGCAAGCAAUAGAGGAGGCAACAUUUGGGACAUACACUUCAGAAGGAAUUUGCAAGAUUGGGAGUUGGGUGAGCUCUCUAAUUUGUAUAGUCUGCUAGAAGGUUGCUCAGUAAAUCCUCACAUCCCAGACAGUCUGAAAUGGUAUGGUUCAAGCAAAGGAUCCUAUACAGUCAAGGAAGGCUACAACAGACUUAAAAUGACAAAUGCUUUAACUGACCAUUGGCCUUGGAAGCUGGUCUGGAAGACUAAUCUCCCUCCAAAAGUCAAAUGUUUCAUUUGGACAGCUCUUCUAAAUGGUACUCUCACUCAAGACAAAUCUCAAGAAGAAGGGUAUUCAGACAGCCAGCAGAUACUUCAUGUGCCACCUUACAGAUGAGACAGGGAACCACUUGUUCUUACAUUGCCCUGUGGCAACAGACACUUGGUCCAUGUAUUCUGCAGUUUUUGGCAUCAGCUGGUCAACACCACUCACCCUAAAAGAAGCAGUUGCAAGUUAAAGUCUAUGGAAAGUGGAUAGAUCCAUCAAGAAAAUCUGGCAAAUGGUACCAGCCUGUAUAUUUUGGUGUAUUUGGAUGGAAAGAAACAGCAGGUGUCAUGAUGGGAUUUCAACUCCUGACUGCUCCCUGAGAUCUAAAAGCUUACUGUAUCUUUUUAGUUGGAGCAAUCUUUCCCCUGUAAAUGAUGCAAUUUCCCUUUUAGAUUUCAUUAGUUCCCUCUCAAUGGCUUAACAGCCUUUAUUUUUGCUAUAGGUUUUAACUCCCAGAUCUUACUUAUUUUUUUGUUUUCUGGAGUUAUCACCUACUUUUUCUCUGUAACUUUCUUGCAUCUACUUGAUGCUUUUCAAUACAACCACUUCAUCAAAAAAAAAACAAAAAAAAACAAAAAAGAAAUGAAGCACUCUAAAUCAUCAGAAUCUGAGCGUGGGACUUUGUUUUGGGCAAAGAUAACCGGUGGACGUUCUGGUGGAACUGUUUGUGUUAUUGGGAGCAACUAUUUAAGAAGCAAUGAACAACUUAUUGAGAUUCAGCAAAGAUACAAAGCUGCCACAGGAUUCUCCAUAUGUGUUUAAAGGUUCUUUGCCUGGUGAUUCUUAUAAAUGGUGGGCUUGUUCAAGAAAUGUCACGUAUUGCGAAUGGUCAUGAUUGCAGAAGCUGCUAGUUUCUCUAGGGGAAAAAAUAGUGGCGAAGUUGCCUUGUUUUUUUCGUUGUUGAACGCAUUCUUUUUGUUUUAAUAAUUCAUACUUUUUUUUACCGUUGGAAGAUAAGAAAGUGAAUGUAUCGAGUUUGAUUGUUUUUGUUUUAAGGAAUGACUUUGAUUUUGGGAAUUUGG